UACGAGGGGGGCGAGCGUUGUUCGGAAUUAUUGGGCGUAAAGGGUGCGUAGGCGGCUUGGUAAGUCUCGUGUGAAAUCUACAGGCUCAACUUGUAGUCUGCACGAGAAACUGCCGGGCUUGAGUGUGGGAGAGGUGAGUGGAAUUCCUGGUGUAGCGGUGAAAUGCGUAGAUAUCAGGAGGAACACCUGUGGCGAAAGCGGCUCACUGGACCAUAACUGACGCUGAUGCACGAAAGCUAGGGGAGCAAACAGG
rnacentral:rRNA from 1 species